rnacentral:misc_RNA from 1 species
UCACGUCUUACGACGGCAGUUUCACUAGAGUUCCCAGCGUUACCUGAUGGCAACUAGUGAUGGGGGUUGCGCUCGUUGCGGGACUUAACCCAACACCUCACGGCACGAGCUGACGACAGCCAUGCAGCACCUGUGCACGAGCCCCGAAGGGCUGCCGUAUUUCUACGACAUUCCCGUGCAUGUCAAGCCUAGGUAAGGUUCUUCGCGUUGCGUCGAAUUAAACCACAUGCUCCGCUGCUUGUGCGGGUCCCCGUCAAUUCCUUUGAGUUUUAGCCUUGCGGCCGUGCUCCCCAGGCGGGGCACUUAAUGCGUUAGCGUCGGCACGGGAGGAGUCGACACCUCCCACACCUAGUGCCCAUCGUUUACGGCGUGGACUAC